AAUUGACAUUUUAUUAAUGCACAUGACUAAUUCAGCUUCUUUCUGGGAGUUCUUUUUGUGCUUUCACCCCUAGCAGGUCUCCGUAGAUCGUGGUUCCUUCUGGACCUUGGUCCUGACACCUACCGUGGCCCUGCUGACGCCUGCUGCUGCCAUCAUCAUCAUCGCUUCUGUGGAUGGUGGUUCUAUCUGAUGGUGGUUCUAUGUGAUGGUGGUGGCCCCUGCAGUGGUCCUGCUGUGCGUCUGGCUUACUACUCACAAUUACUUGAAUCAUUUCUGUCAUAGGAAUUGCAUGUAUUAUACAUUGUUGAUUCUGUACACAUGUGUUAUGACUGGGGUCAUAUGUCUAUAGUGUUUUUGGGUUUCCUUUUGUGUCUUUCUGGUUUCCCUUCAUUCAAACAGGGAUGUGCCACAACCAGGCGCGGAUUGGUGGACGGUCUCCUACCGUCCUGUGAUUGGCUGCAGUACCUGCAUAUAACGGAAGCAAAGAUGGCGUCCGAGACAGAGCAGUCCAGAGCGGGGAGAACAGCAGCAGCACACAACCCUCGUCCUCCUCCUCUCCCGAACAGCCAUCUGUGUUAUAUUGUGAAGCCUGUGAAGUAUGCCGUAUUUCUUUUGAGUUGGUUUUCUCCUGUUUUUAAAGUUGAUAGGUAGAUAAGACUGGUGUCAUUAUUUUUCUCCUUUGUUUUGGUAGGUCAGCAUCUUAUUUUUAGCUAGGAUCGUUUUUUGGUUUGUUUAUUAUAUUGGGGAUGGGCAACAGCGGAGCCGUGCGUUUUUCUACCCCAACAUACCUGGUUUACUCAACCUGGCUCUUUUGUUCAAUAAAUAUAUCCCCCAUAUAACGCAAAGUGUGUGUGGCUACUUGGGAGAUGGGGAAGGUUGGGGCCUAUCCAUGUUGCACCUUAGGCACCCCUAGACUGGGGCGUAACAACAUGGCAUCCAUUGUAGUCUGUCCAUCCCGGGAGUGGGACCCCUCCUCUGACGUUCUCCCUAAGGUUUCUUCCCUUUUUUCCGCUCUUGGAAGGGUUUUUUCAGUUUUUUGGGGAGUUUUUCCUGUGCCGAUGGUGGGUUUCGGGACAGAGGACGUUGUAUGUGUACAGACUGUAAAGCCCUCUGAGGCAAAUUUGUCAUUUGCGAUUUUGGGCUAUACAAAAUAAAAUGAAUUGAAUUGAAUUGUUCCCCCCUGUGUCCGAUCACCUGCACCUCCCCAGUGUAUUUAAGCCCUGUGUAUCUUCUGUCCCUUGUCGCGUUAUUGAAUCUACCCUCAAUGUCUUGGUGAAUGUUCCAGUUCCCCAUCUGUGUUUUGC
ensembl:lncRNA